GCAUAUCAAUAAGCGGAGGAAAAGAAACCAACAGGGAUUGCCUCAGUAACGGCGAGUGAAGCGGCAACAGCUCAAAUUUGAAAUCUGGCCCCCAGGGUCCGAGUUGUAAUUUGUAGAGGAUGCUUUUGGUGAGGUGCCUUCCGAGUUCCCUGGAACGGGACGCCAUAGAGGGUGAGAGCCCCGUCUGGUUGGAUACCGAGCCUCUGUAAAGCUCCUUCGACGAGUCGAGUAGUUUGGGAAUGCUGCUCUAAAUGGGAGGUAUAUGUCUUCUAAAGCUAAAUAUUGGCCAGAGACCGAUAGCGCACAAGUAGAGUGAUCGAAAGAUGAAAAGCACUUUGAAAAGAGGGUUAAAAAGUACGUGAAAUUGUUGAAAGGGAAGCGCUCAUGACCAGACUUGGGCUUGGCGAAUCAUCCAGCGUUCUCGCUGGUGCACUUCGCCUCGUUCAGGCCAGCAUCAGUUCGUCCCGGGGGAUAAAAGCUUUGGGAACGUGGCUGCUUCGGCAGUGUUAUAGCCCGCUGCAUAAUACCCUGGGGUGGACUGAGGUUCGCGCUCCGCAAGGAUGCUGGCGUAAUGGUCAUCAGCGACCCGUCUUGAAACACGGACCAAGGAGUCGUCUUCGUAUGCGAGUGUUCGGGUGUCAAACCCCUACGCGUAAUGAAAGUGAACGCAGGUGAGAGCUUCGGCGCAUCAUCGACCGAUCCUGAUGUUCUCGGAUGGAUUUGAGUAAGAGCAUACGGGGCCGGACCCGAAAGAAGGUGAACUAUGCCUGUAUAGGGUGAAGCCAGAGGAAACUCUGGUGGAGGCUCGCAGCGGUUCUGACGUGCAAAUCGAUCGUCAAAUAUGGGCAUGGGGGCGAAAGACUAAUCGAA
rnacentral:rRNA from 1 species